rnacentral:rRNA from 1 species
GACGAACGCUGGCGGCGUGCUUAACACAUGCAAGUCGAACGGAAAGGCCCUGCUUUUGUGGGGUGCUCGAGUGGCGAACGGGUGAGUAACACGUGAGUAACCUGCCCUUGACUUUGGGAUAACUUCAGGAAACUGGGGCUAAUACCGGAUAGGAGCUCCUGCUGCAUGGUGGGGGUUGGAAAGUUUCGGCGGUUGGGGAUGGACUCGCGGCUUAUCAGCUUGUUGGCGGGGUAGUGGCUUACCAAGGCUUUGACGGGUAGCCGGCCUGAGAGGGUGACCGGACGCGUGGGCGCAGAGAGCCGCGCCGGCAUCGAGGGGGGGGCGGGAGUGGGAGAUAGGGCAGCGGGGGGAGGACGCGGAUGCGGCGACGCCGGGGGGGGGAGGGCGGCCUGGGGGUUGUAAACCGCUGUCGCGGAGGAGGAGGGGUGAGAAACGGUAAUGAGAAAAGAAGCACCGGAAAAGUACGGGCCAGCAGCCGGAAUAAUAGUCGGAAGAGCACCCGUCACCGC